rnacentral:rRNA from 1 species
GAUGAACGCUGGCGGCGUGCCUAAUACAAGCAAGUCGAGCGAAUGGAUUAAGAGCUUGCUCUUAUGAAGUCAGCGGCGGACGGGUGAGUAACACGUGGGUAACCUGACCAUAAGACUGGGAUAACUCCGGGAAACCGGGGCUAAUACCGGAUAACAUUUUGAACCGCAUGGUUCGAAAUUGAAAGGCGGCUUCGGCUGUCACUUAUGGCUGGCCCCGCGUCGCAUUAGCUAGUUGGUGAGGUAACGGCUCACCAAGGCAACGAGGCGGAGCCGACCUGAGAGGGUGAUCGGCCACACUGGGACUGAGACACGGCCCAGACUCCUACGGGAGGCAGCAGUAGGGAUCUUCCGCAAUGGACGAAGGUCUGACGGAGCAACGCCGCGUGAGUGAUGAAGGCUUUCGGGUCGUAAAACUCUGUUGUUAGGGAAGAACAAGUGCUAGUUGAAUAAGCUGGCACCUUGACGGUACCUAACCAGAAAGCCACGGCUAACUACGUGCCAGCCGCCGCGGUAA